UUUCCUCAGACCUGUCUUCCAUUUACUAAUUCCUUCAUUAACUAUAUCUAUUCAGGUAUUUGUUUAUUUGUUGAAUUUUUUUUUUUUUUUUUUUUUUUGUACUGGGAAUUGAACCCAGCACUUUACCACCACUGAGCUACAUCCCUAGCCCUGUUACUAAGUUGCUGAGAGUCUUGCUAAGUUGCUGUGCCUGGCCUUGAACUUGCAGUCCUCCAGCCUCAGCCUUCUGAGCUGCUGGAACUACAGGCGUGCACCACUGCGCCUGGCUAGACUUUGUUUUUAAUAAAUAUUUCAGACAUACCAAAAAACUGCAGAGCUUCAUACACUUGAGGGGUUUUUUGUUUGGUUAGUUUGGUUUUGGUGCUGGGGAUUUAACCCAAGCCCUGGUGUAUGCUAAGCACACACUUUACCACUGAGCUAUACACCUAGCCCUCAUAUACUUUAAUAAUUUCCAGGGUAUUUUACAGGGCAAUCUUACAGACAAAAUUAUGAGAUAAAGUCCAGUAUGUUUAUCAUUGCUUUCAUAAUAUUUAUGUUUAAUUAUGUAAAUGUACCCUAAACUCCAAGACUGAAAUAGUGUGUCUGUGCCAUGUCAAUGAGCAUGAAAGAAAAGUUACUUCUGUUGCAUAACUACAAGCUAUACAGGUGUCUAGAAGCUAAUUGGUCUCUGUAAUUUACCCCUCCUCUCCAUUGCUCCUCUGCUAACUCUCUUUUCCCAUCUUAGAAAAAUGGAUUAGCAUCAGUUCCAAUAUCUUGGUGAUCUGUGCUCACAUGGACUACAUGUGAAAAGUUACAAGGCACUUAGAAGAGAGGUCGCAGGACCUAGAGACAUGACUGGAUAAAGAAAAUGUGGUAUAUAUACACACAAUGGAGUAUUACUCAGCGGUAAAGAAGAAUGAAAUUAUGGCAUCUUCAUGUAAAUGGAUGAAAUUGGAGACUGUCAUGUUCAGUGAAAUAAGCCAGUCCCAAAAAAACCAAAGGCCAGAUGUUCUCUCUUUUGUGUGGAUGCUAAGGCAUUGGGUAGGGGUAUAGAAGUUUAUUGGAUUAGACAUUAGAAUGAAGGGAUGGGAAUAAGAAAAACAGUAGAAUGAAUUGGACUUAACUUUUCCUGUAUUCAUUUUUGAGUAUAUGACCAGUGAAACUCUACAUCACAUACAACCACAAGAAUGGGAAGUUAUACUCCAUGUAUGUGUAUACGUAAAAAUACACUCUGCUGUCAUACAUAAAAAGAACAAAUUUUCUAAAAAAGAGAAGGGAAGUUGCAGGGUUUAUGUACUUGUUGGCACCAUUUAAAGGAUAAUUGAUUUGGUGACUAUCAUACAUAGCUAACAAAAGCUGAUUUUCCUAAUAAAAUGUAUUCUAAAACAAGCAGAUACAGGUCUGAUCAAACAGUUUCUAUUCAGUAGCUGGAGCCAAGCCUAAAAUCAAGAGCAAAGUCCAUCACAAUGUAGGGAAUGUGUUUAAAUGGUAAGGUGAAUUAGGGGCUGAAACAGGUUGAAAACCCUUGCCGAUACGAUAAUAUGUAUUUACCCCAAUGAAUACUUGCAGUGUGUGUAUAUAUAUACACACUGAUAUGCUUAUUCUUAAACUUUUUUCUUUCUUCUGCCUUUCAUUGACUUGGUCUUUGGAUUUUUAGGAAUCAUUUUGCUUCUGAUGCUUUCACAUUCCAUUCAAAAUUGGGGUUACAUGCAGACUCUCGCAGAUUUACUAUAUCUGAACUAGACAUGUCUUGAAAGUAAAUAAACAUGUAUGGUAACCACUAGCAGAGCUGUAGAAUUAAUGAUGCUCCAAUCUCUCAGGACCACUUGUUACGCAGUUUGAAAUAAACAUAAUGUUGAGAACUUUUUAAUUUCAGCUUCAUGAUGGACACAUACUAAGCACCUCCCUAAAAAGUAGAAUGAAACUGUGCAGAGUUGAAAGAACAGUCCCUCAAAUAUCACCAGGAACUAAACACUGGACAUAUCCCAGGUGGGUGACUCCUGAUACUUGCAUUCCCCACAUUUAGUGAAAAAUAGACAAAUGCAAAUACUAAACAGAUCUUAGAAAUAAUCUGAAAACCUCUUCCUCAUCUUUUCUUUCUUGGUCCAACAAUAUAUCAACCUAUGCACCAUUUUAUUUUAGUAUAGAGCAGAUAUUUCAGAUGGAAUUCUAAAAAUCCCUAGCCAUCUUGUCCAUUCUUCAGCAGAUGUAUAUCUAGUAUUUAAAUUAACAAAUAUCUAAUUCUAGGAACAUGUUCAACACUGGAAUUAAUAUGAUAUAAUUUCCAGUUUCCUGCCUCAAAGAGUUUACAGUUUUAACAAGAAAUGUAUUAGCAGUUAUUUAUUCAUUCAAGAAACAUGUAUGUACUAGGGCUAAGAAUUUUAUACAAAAAAGAUCAUUGUGAGAUAUAAAGACCAUGCCAAGCACAGUGGCACACACCUGUAAUCCCAGUGCUCGGGAGGCUGAGACCAGUGGAUCACAAGUUUGAGGCCAGCCUCAAUUUAGCAAGACCUGUCUCAAAAUUUUUAAAAGGGUUUGGGAAUGUAGCUCAGUAGUGAGAGCACACACUUGAAGUUUAUAACCUAUACACUUAAAACUACUAAAAACUCAAUAAAAGUUAUUUAGUAUGUAAUUAAUAUAACAUGUAUUUUUCCUCUUGUUCACUGAGAGAAGACCAACGUAGUAAGAAUUACGUUAGAAUUUAAUUCCCUCUGCCACCUCAAUUUCCCUUUGCCAGGUAACAACAUAUUCACAAAUUCCAGAGACAAGGACGUGAGUGACGUCUUCUAGAGGAGGGUGUUGAGCUGCAUUAUUCUGCCUAGCACAUACAUUAUCUUAAAUAUUUCUUAAUAGAAAUUUUAAAGUAAAGGUAUUAAUUAAUACAAAGUUCUAUUAUCUAAAUUUAAAUAAAAGUAAGUGCUUGGGAUAACUGGAAAACUCUUUAACAAAUAAAUGAAUAUUUUUUAUUUGCACCCAAACAGAUACUACAGUAAAUAGAUGCUAAUUUACUAUUUAAGACAAAGGCCAUCAGUCCCCAACAGCACAAAAAAGAAAAAAGAAAGAAAAAGUACAAUAAUCACACUUGUAUAUUUUGACUGGCUGUUGAUGUUCCUUUGUCUUCAUCAAUAAUACAAAUUCGGUCAUUAAAUGGGACUAGAAACAGCCUCCAAACCUUCAUUUAAUUCUUCAGAUUUCAGCAUGCUAAUCCUUUCUCUUUCUCCUGGUUUUUCAACAUCCUUAAAGGAACUGGAAACCUCUUCCCUUUUUACUUCUUUGGAAGUAGUGAGUUUUUCUAGGGAUUCUACUACUUCGUUUCUCAACUCAUCUUCAGACUCUUCAAAAUUUCUGAAAUAAUAAAUAGUAAAAUAAAACAAAUCAACAUUGUGUUAUGAAAGCACUAAUAUGAAAACUAGUUUCCCAGGGCUGAGGUUGUGGCUCAGCAGUAGAACGCUUGCCCAGCACAUGCAAGGCCCUGGGUUCGAUCCUCAGCACCACAU
rnacentral:lncRNA from 1 species